UACGUAGGGGGCAAGCGUUGUCCGGAAUUAUUGGGCGUAAAGCGCGCGCAGGCGGUGAUUUAAGUUUGGUGUUUAAGCCCGGGGCUCAACUUCGGGACGCACUGAAAACUGGGUCACUUGAGUGCAGGAGAGGGAAGUGGAAUUCCACGUGUAGCGGUGAAAUGCGUAGAGAUGUGGAGGAACACCAGUGGCGAAGGCGACUUCCUGGCCUGUAACUGACGCUGAGGCGCGAAAGCGUGGGGAGCAAACAGG
rnacentral:rRNA from 1 species